rnacentral:lncRNA from 10 species
AAUUAAGCCUCUUUCCUUUGUAAAUUACCCUGUCGCAGGUAUUCUUUAUAGCAAUGUGAAAAUGGAUUAAUACAGAGAGUCUACACAUUUCUUUAUAUAAGAUAUACUUGUUUUCUGUUUAUAGUUAGCAAUUACAAAGUUUACAGUAAAAUUUUUACUUACAUUCAUAUAACAUUUAAGUUAUUCUCAAAAUUUUAUGCAACCAUUUUAGAUCUAAAGUGGACUUUGUUUUUUUCCAUAGAAUAAGUAUUUUGUAGGACUUCUCUUCAAUAUUGGUGUGUAGAAAAAAAAAUGUGAACUUCAAGUUUCAAUCAAUUAAACUUUUGCUUAAACUGAAAAACCAUGCCAACACACAAAAAGGUCAUCUGGGGUGUGCCAUUACAUUAGGAUUACAUACUGGUACUACACACUCAGUUGUGUAGGACAUAAGAAUGGAUUAUACUUAAACCUCUAAAGGAUGGCCUGAAUUAAAGUGAUAGAAAAUGGGAGUUAAUAUUGCUAGUGUUACCAUGUAAAAUUUAAUAAUUAUUUGCUUAAUUAUUGUCUUAUUAAUUUAAUAGUUUCUAAACAGAAAUUUCAUUAACAAAUUAACAGGAACAGCUACAAAAUUUGCAGUGUUCAGUGCAAAAUUAACAUAUAGGACAUCUUACUCAAAAAUUAUUUAAAACUUGACACGAAUGACACCAAAGAAUUAGCCAAGUGAUGGGCCCCUGCAAAUGAGCAGAUCACAUAAAUCUAUCCCUGAACAUCAAUUAGUUAUAAAAAA